ACUCCUGUUAUCUUCCUCCAGGAUAAAAGCAUGCGGAGCAGCCUGAGGAGCGCUGUGGAGACUUGCACAUUCUCCUCCUGCAGGACCUCUAUACAGUAGACUGCGGACCUCCUGCCAGAGAAAAGACAAGGGACGGAGAAGGUGAAGGAAGAGAGGAAGGCAGAGCGAAAUCGAGCGCAGCUUCACUAUGUUGGGCAACAAAAAGAAAUUAGCUCCGGUGGUGAAGAACGGAGCCGGGACGUCCAAUUUAAAGGCUAUCGAUCCUCUCAGGAAUCUUGCUGGUCGGAGCAGAUGGCCGCCUACCAUGAGCCGCGUUCUGUUCAAGGUUUCUACCUGUUAAAAGGGAGUUUUUCCUUGCCACUGUCGCCAGAGUUCUUGCUCAUGGGGGAAUGUUGGGUCUCUGCAAAUAUAACUAUAACGAGUACGGUCUACACCUGCUCUAUAUGAAAAGUUCCCUGAGAUGACCUCUGUUACGAUUUGUGCUAUAUGAAUAAAAUUAAAUUGAAUUGAA